GUGAAUCAUCAAAUUUUUGAACGCAAAUUGCACUCUCCGGUUUUCCGGGAGAGUAUGCCUGUUUGAGGGUCAGCCUAAAAAAAAUCGACAUUGUUGCUGUUAUUUAAUGGUGACUUUCGUCAGAGAUUGGGUUAUCUUAAACCUUUUUUUUUUUUUUUGGUUUAAGCGACUUAAAAUUUUUCUUCAGGAUUCGAUGAAUGUUUAAAGGUUUUUUAUUUUUUUUACUUUUAAGUUUUUUGGUUUUUUUAUUAG
rnacentral:misc_RNA from 1 species